rnacentral:rRNA from 1 species
CGGUAACGUAGGGGGCCAGCGUUGCUCGGAAUUACUGGGCGUAAAGGGUUCGUAGGUGGUGCGGCAAGUUGGGAGUGAAAUCUCUGGGCUUAACUCGGAGGCUGCUUUCAAAACUGCCGUGCUCGAGUGCGAGAGAGGUCAGUGGAAUUGCAGGUGUAGCGGUGAAAUGCGUAGAUAUCUGCAGGAACACCCGUGGCGAAGGCGGCUGACUGGAUCGCAACUGACACUGAGGAACGAAAGCUAGGGGAGCAAACAGGAUUAGAUACCCUGGUAGUCCUAGCCCUAAACCAUCGGAACUUGGGGUGGCCCGCGUAGGCGGGUCGUCCCGUAGCUAACGCGUUAAGUUCCGCGCCUGGGGAGUACGGCCGCAAGGCUAAAACUCAAAGGAAUUGACGGGGGCCCGCACAAG